GACGAACGCUGGCGGCGUGCUUAACACAUGCAAGUCGAACGGAAAGGCCCUGCUUGCAGGGUACUCGAGUGGCGAACGGGUGAGUAACACGUGGGUGAUCUGCCCGGCACUUCGGGAUAAGCCUGGGAAACUGGGUCUAAUACGGGAGAGGAGCCAGUUUUAGGGUGAUGGUUGGAAAGUUUUUGCGGUUUUGGAUGGGCUCGCGGCCUAUCAGCUUGUUGGUGGGGUAAUGGCCUACCAAGGCGGCGACGGGUAGCCGGCCUGAGAGGGUGGACGGCCACAUUGGGACUGAGAUACGGCCCAGACUCCUACGGGAGGCAGCAGUGGGGAAUAUUGCACAAUGGGCGGAAGCCUGAUGCAGCGACGCCGCGUGGGGGAUGACGGCCUUCGGGUUGUAAACCGCUUUCGGCAGGGGCGAAGCUUUUUGUGACGGUACCUAGAUAAGAAGCACCGGCUAACUACGUG
rnacentral:rRNA from 1 species